UACGUAGGGUCCGAGCGUUGACCGGAAUUACUGGGCGUAAAGAGCUCGUAGGUGGUUUGUCGCGUUGUUCGUGAAAACUCACAGCUCAACUGUGGGCGUGCGGGCGAUACGGGCAGACUAGAGUACUGCAGGGGAGACUGGAAUUCCUGGUGUAGCGGUGGAAUGCGCAGAUAUCAGGAGGAACACCGGUGGCGAAGGCGGGUCUCUGGGCAGUAACUGACGCUGAGGAGCGAAAGCGUGGGGAGCGAACAGG
rnacentral:rRNA from 1 species